GAUGAACGCUGGCGGCGUGCCUAACACAUGCAAGUCGAACGAGAUGCGUAUCGGAAAGCUUCGGCCGGAAGAUGCGUUAUCUAGUGGCGGACGGGUGAGUAACACGUGGGUAACCUGCCUUAUGGAGGGGGAUAACAGAGAGAAAUCACUGCUAAUACCGCAUAAGCACACAUUGCCGCAUGGCAGAGUGUGAAAAGAUUUAUCGCCAUAAGAUGGACCCGCGUCUGAUUAGCCAGUUGGCAGGGUAAAAGCCUACCAAAGCAACGAUCAGUAGCCGAUCUGAGAGGAUGACCGGCCACAUUGGGACUGAGACACGGCCCAAACUCCUACGGGAGGCAGCAGUGGGGAAUAUUGCACAAUGGGGGAAACCCUGAUGCAGCGACGCCGCGUGAGUGAAGAAGUAUUUCGGUAUGUAAAGCUCUAUCAGCAGGGAAGAUAAUGACAGUACCUGACUAAGAAGCCCCGGCUAACUACGUGC
rnacentral:rRNA from 1 species